rnacentral:rRNA from 1 species
UUGACCUACGGGACGCAGCAGUGAGGAAUAUUGGUCAAUGGGCGGGAGCCUGAACCAGCCAAGCCGCGUGAAGGAAGAAGGCGCCAAGCGUCGUAAACUUCUUUUGUCGGGGAACAAAGGGCGCCACGUGUGGCGUUGUGAGUGUACCCGAAGAAAAAGCAUCGGCUAACUCCGUGCCAGCAGCCGCGGUAAUACGGAGGAUGCGCGCGGUAUCCGGAUUUAUUGGGUUUAAAGGGUGCGUAGGCGGUCCGGAACGUCAGCGGUAAAAGCCCGGGGCUCAACCCCGGCGAGCCGUUGAUACUGUC